rnacentral:rRNA from 1 species
AUUGAACGCUGGCGGCAGGCUUAACACAUGCAAGUCGAGCGGGGUGAGGUGCUUCGGUACUGAUCCUAGCGGCGGACGGGUGAGUAAUGCUUAGGAAUCUGCCAUUUAGUGGGGGACAACAUUCCGAAAGGAAUGCUAAUACCGCAUACGUCCUACGGGAGAAAGCAGGGGAUCUUCGGACCUUGCGCUAAAUGAUGAGCCUAAGUCGGAUUAGCUAGUUGGUGGGGUAAAGGCCUACCAAGGCGACGAUCUGUAGCGGGUCUGAGAGGAUGAUCCGCCACACUGGGACUGAGACACGGCCCAGACUCCUACGGGAGGCAGCAGUGGGGAAUAUUGGACAAUGGGCGGAAGCCUGAUCCAGCCAUGCCGCGUGUGUGAAGAAGGCCUUUUGGUUGUAAAGCACUUUAAGCGAGGAGGAGGCUGCCUGGAUUAAUACUCUGGGAUAGUGGACGUUACUCGCAGAAUAAGCACCGGCUAACUCUGUGCCAGCCGCCGCAGUAAAAC